rnacentral:rRNA from 1 species
UAUGUGAUCGUCUCUCGCAUAUCAAUAAGCGGAGGAAAAGAAACUAACAAGGAUUCCCCUAGUAACGGCGAGUGAAGCGGGAAGAGCUCAAAUUUGAAAUCUUAAAGGGUUUCCCUUUACGAAUUGUAGUUUAAAGAAGUGUUUUCUGUUGAGGUUUUGGUAAAAGUUCUUUGGAAUAGGACAUCAUAGAGGGUGAGAAUCCCGUAUUUGACCUUUACUUUCAACUUUGUGAUACACUUUCAAAGAGUCGGAUUGUUUGGGAAUGCAGUCCAAAAUGGGUGGUAAAUUUCAUCUAAAGCUAAAUAUUGGCGAGAGACCGAUAGCGAACAAGUACCGUGAGGGAAAGAUGAAAAGAACUUUGAAAAGAGAGUUAAACAGUACGUGAAAUUGUCAAAAGGGAAGCGUUUGACACCAGUGUUGUUUUUCUGAAAAUCAAUUAAAGAACUGUUUAUGCUAAGCUGUUUAGACUUUAUCAGCUAUCUGUUUAGUUUUGAGCUUUUCUUUAAUGCACUUUUCAGUUAACAAGUCAACAUCAAUUUCUUUUGACUGUAAAAAAGCUUGAGGAAGGUGGCUUGAGAUUCGUCUUAAGUGUUUAUAGCCUCUUGCCUAUGCAGUCGGAGAGAUUGAGGUCUGCAGCGUAGAUCCUUCGGGGCUAAAUGCAUUUGUGCUAAGUUAUAGCAUUUUAUAGACAACUUGUUGACUAUGAUUUGUCUUGUAGCUUACUCGCUUAUGUUAUUUUACCUACGCUUAGGAUGUUGAGCGCAUGUCUCUCUCU